GCCUCCGGAUAAAUGGAUUCCAGUUUGCAAAGAGUCAAAUAAAGUUCGUUCAGAGCCAUCGAUGUGUCUGCUUGGGGGGGAUAUAUACGGCUGUGAUUAUAAUCAAAGAGAAUUCUCUUGGUAGAUAAUGUGGUCGACAUUUGAUUGUGAGGAAUUCUAAAUCGGGUGAACAGAAGGAUUUGAGUUCCUGUAUGUUUCUUCCAUCACACCAUGUCUCGUUAGCCAUAAGGCAUACGCCCCCGCCCCUCUUCUUACCAGAAAAAUGUUUGUUUCUGUCAGCGUGAUGCGUGGAGAAACCCGCUGGCUGCACCGCCUCCGAUAGCGUCUCUCCAGUGAGCCAUGUUUUCGUGAAGCAAAGAACGUUACAGUCUCUGAUGUCCCUCUGGAAUGCUACCCUUGCUCGGAUUUCAUCAACCUUGUUGUCAAGAGACUGGACAUUGGCGAGAAGAAUGCUAGGGAGUGGUGCACGAUGUGCCCGUCUCCGGAGUCUGACCAGAAGACCGCCUCGUUUCCCUCUUUUUCGGAGUUGUUUUUUUGGGUCGCCGCAUGGGAUCCAUUCAGUUGUCCUGGUUGAAAGGCAGAACACAGGAUCCGCGUCGCGAAAAUCAUAUUCUUGGUCGUACUGAUGGUGAGUUGACACUGAUCCUAUAUUCAGUAGUUCUUCUCGACUGUAUGUAAUGAAACCUAAGAUGACCUGGGGUACUAAUGUAAGAAAUAACACGUAAAAAAAAAAAAAAAACUGCAUAGUUUCCUAGGAACGCGAAGCGAGGCGGCCAUCUCUGUCGGCGCCAAUGGAUGCAAUAGCGCUAUGUGGCCAACAGAUGGAGGAAUUGGAACAGAAUUUACAUGAAGUCACUGCCAUUACGGCACAAUUUCCAACAGGAUUUUAAAAAUGUACUUAAACUUUAUUUUAUGGGUAAUACUAGGAGGAAAAUGGAUGCCACCCCCUAUAUAUAUAUAGGAGUAAAAGGGGUCAAAAUAAGGAACGCUUCACGAAUUUGCGUGUCGUGUUGAGCCUUGCACCCGGUGAUUGGUGAACUUGCUGAAAAUAUCGGUAUGGCUCUAAAUGGCUUCAGGGGGGUGCUGGAGGUCCAUUGCUGGGUAGUGUGCACCACCCAACAGGGGGCACCCCUGGUCAUUCAGACGGUUUUUAAAAGAUCUUCCCACUUAGUGCAAUGAGAGAUAUGUUAGUCUGUGGAACUUAGUCUUUGGAACAAAAGCUGAACAUAGCGCAAUGAGAAAGAAAUUGGACUCUCGUUUUUUUUUUUUUUAAGUCUCCCCCUUUUUCUCUCGCUCUCUCCCACUUUUUUCUCUCCACUCUCUCCCACUUUUUCUCUCUCCCCCUUUUGCUCUUUCUCUCUCCCUUUUUCCCUACCUUUCUUGUUUAUUUCCUUUAUCUCAAUACAGCUACAUGGCCUGGUUCAGGACAUACCAAGUAAAGCCGGGGACCUCAAUGGCCACUUCAAGGUCUAUGUCCAACUCAGGGACACAGCAACAGCUGUAGAGCCUCCUAAUCCAUCUGCCGAGCCAUCAGAUCAGGAGUUGCUGUCUAUCUGCCUGGGUUUUGACCAAGCAUUAACAGGAUACAUUUUAAAGUAGUAAGGUAAGUGGUAAAUUGUUAAAACACCUCCUUCCUAGCUGGGCUUAGAAAUCACUGUAGAAUUUCUAAUUGUUGCAUCCAUUUUGCUUGACACAUAAAAAUCCUUCCUCAUCUUUUUGUGGAAUGAUGUGUUUACUGUAGCUUGUCUUGUCACCAUUCCAACCUGUAUUUCAGUCUGCAUCACUUUGCUUGGCCUAUUCCUUGCUUGUUGAUGUCUACCCACUAUACAUCUAUCGUUUGUAGCUUUUAAAUGUAGAUUGUGUUUAACCCAGAUUCCUAACCUCUACCACUGAUAACACUGAUCAAAACUAAACCAAAGUGCAUUGUCUGUCAACAGGCUGUUAACAUGUUUUGAAGCUGAAGCUCUAUUCUAAUUGAAUAAUUUCACUUGUUUCUCUGAAAUAUUUUGUGAGACUAACUCCUGUGCUCCUGUAGCAGGUCCUACUGCCACCGCACCCCCUGCUGUGCUAGCUCCUACUGCCACCACACCCCCUGCUAUGCUAGCUCCCACUGCCACCACAACCCCUGCUAUGCUAGCUCCUACUGCCACCACAACCCCUGCUGUGCUAGCUCCCAAAGGAGCAGCAAGAGUGGGUCAGUCGGGCCCACUCUUCAUAAGAGACAAGCAGCUCAAAUGUGUCCUGAAAAGCCAGCUUGAGCUGUGGUACUCCCCUCCUCUGCCUCCUAACAUCAGCCAUAAGCCUCCAGCUUCUCCCUCCGGCCAUUCUGCCUCUGGAUGCCCUACCGCCUGUGGACCUUUAAGUUUGUGUGCGCCCAGCCACAGUGCGCCCAGCCACAGUGCACCCAGCCACAGUGCACCCAGCCACAGUGCACCCAGCCACAGUGCAAGCGUCAAAAUCUCACAGGCUGUGGGGUGUACAAGACAGUCCGGAGGGUGCUUGACAUGGACGGCUGGUAUUAUAUGGGGACAGAGUAUUCUUACAGAGGCUGGUAUUAUAUGGGGACAGAGUAUUCUUACAGAGGCUGGUAUUAUAUGGGGACAGAGUAUUCUUACAGAGGCUGGUAUUAUAUGGGGACAGAGUAUUCUUACAGAGGCUGGUAUUAUAUGGAGACAGAGUACCUGGAGUGCCGCCUCUGUAAGAAGCUACUAGCAGGAUGGUCGCUGGAGGUCUUGAACCAGCUGGACACAAGUCAUCGCUCCAUGUUCCCAGCCAUCUUGACUUACAGGUUAGUAAUUCACACCUCUGGAAAUCAAAGCUCUUGUUCACUUUGAGGAAAAACAGAGAAAAAGCCCCAUUGAAAUGUUAAUUAGCUCUUUGCCCAUUGAAAUGUUAAUUAGCUCUUUGAGCUCUCUGAAUUUCUGACCUUCGAUCUCUUAUCAGGAACUGCCCAAACAAAGCAAAGUGUUUCAACGUCACUUUCCCCAAGCCUCUCCUUCCCUUAUCAAAGUGUU